rnacentral:rRNA from 1 species
AAUAUGAACAAAUGAGCUAACCAAUACUAAUUGCCCGUGAGGCUUGACCAUAUAACACCC